GCUUGCAAAUCAGACAUCUAUGUGUCUCUUGUGAAUUCUCAUCAUUUGCCACAACACUAUUUCCUUCACCAAUACGUCGUAGGAAAGAGAGGAAUUAAAAGCACCAAACUGCUGAGAAUUUGCUAUUUAUUAAUAAUCUUCUUAUCAAAGAGCUCUUACGAACCAUUUCCUCACAUAAAGAAGAAACGAUACUGAAAUCUAGAGGGAGAAUCCAAAAAUCUACAUCCAAGGAGGUACAGCUGAUACAACUCAUGAGAAAUUUAGUUUGGAAUCCAGUUUUCAUUGUAGAUUUUUAACGCAAACAUGUAUUUGGUCAUUAACUCCGGGAGAAAGUUUGUUAUUUAUCCGAAGAGAAGGUUAAGAAAAAUAGUGCUUGUAAGAAUAUACGACUAUAUAUUGGACGACAUGAUAGUAAGCAUCAGACUCAAUAGAUUCAUCUACUUUCAGAAUCAUUUGAACCGUUCUCGUAAAAUGGGUUUACGCACGCGCAUAUAUACGCGCGUGUACACGGCUUUCAAUAUGAAUAGGUACCGACCAGAGUAUAUGCGCCUAUGCUCGCGUAUUUUCGCUGGAACACGUAUAUUUAUAAAGAAACGCACCCUUAUUUGUAUAUAUAGACCCAGGGCAUAUGCAAGCAUGAAUGCCUAUGAAGUUAUGAUUAUGGCAGCUCCUCUGUUUAUAAAUGAUCUACGUAGUAUAGAAUAUGUAUACCUAUUCAGACACUAAUCAAGCUGACAAUUGUUAAAUAUUAAUUCGAAAUAAAAUUAAAGUUCCGUUUAUAUAUUAAAGUUAAAAAUACAAAAAGAAAAUUGUUCGCUGCAGUGGAUUUUCCUUUUCAUAAUCUAAAUUGAAAAACUUGAAUUUAUAUAUUAAUACUCUAAACACGAAUGCGUUACACUGCCACGUGCUUUGGAGAAGUGAAGAGCGAGUGAAAAAGCAGGAGAGAAGUGUAAACUGUUAUGUAGAGAGGAAGUAAGUUAUUGUGCGAAGAGAAAGAAUAACGUGAAGGGAAUUACAUGGUUUAAAAGCUUGUUGAAGUUAGAAGAGAAAUGUAGUGUUUAGAGGAUAUUCAUGUCACCAACUGUUUAGUUUGUUUGUUUUUUUUGCUUUUUUUUCGUUCUUUUCUAUUCUGGACACGUUCCCUUAUCUGAAAAUACACAAGCUUAAAAACAAACAUUAAAGUUUGUGCUUAACUGCUCCAAAAUACAGAUAGGAUAUAACCAAUAUAAUAAAUACUUUGAAAUGAGUUGAGGUCAUGUUUGUUUCUACCUUACAAAUGAACACUUUAUUACAAUAGAUUAAAUAAACUUAUGCUUAUUGAAAGCUUCAUGAUAAUUUUGUUUGACCUGAGCCUUCUCCAAAUCUCAUUACUUACAGUUAAGUGUAUUUGAUAGUACCAACAAAGCUGAUAGUUUCUUUUCCAGCAUUACUGGAAGAUAUUAUUGGCAAAGAGAACACACUGAAGUAAAUUUUAAGUGAAUCAAACUGGUCUGUUUUGGAAACAAAUGUCAAAACAAACUGUACCAGAAUUCAAGGCUGCCAAAGAUUGUAGGAUCUCCUACUUGGUGGCAAUGCCUUAAAAGAUGAAAGCAUUAGCUGUUUAUAAUUGUUUUAUAGCAAUUAAAUAAAAAGCCGAGGAUCACUAGACCAGUAAUCAAAGUUUGGUUUACUUCAACUUUGUCUAACUUCCAAAGAAUGUCAGCUUAGAAUCUUCAAAAUAAUGCCUUUUUUUAAUAAAAUGCUUCGGGUCACCCAUCUAAUCUGGAUAAACUGACAAAUAAUGUAGCUUUUUUUUUUUUUUUUUUUUUUUUAGCCUCCAAAUUCAACCGGGUUGCUUCAACCUACAGACCCGGCGAGGUUGUUACUCUAUUCAAAGCUUAGAUAAUUUUAUAGAGGCAAGAAGUAAAAAAAAAAAAAAAACCCUUAAUGAAUUUUGUUUGGAGUGAAACCUAUCUAGGCUUGUAUAUUUCCCGAGUUUGGGGGCGCCGAUACAAAAUGGUGUAAUUGUUCGUCGAAUACAUUAAAUUGGUGGAUAAAAAGAAGUAAAUGACGUAUGUGUAGCGGUGUUUAUUUGAAUUUCAUGAGAAAUUUUGUAAUCGGGAUCUCGUGCAGAUGGAACGACGUCAUCUCGAAUAGGAUAGUGAGACUGAGCAGGCUGAGCCAGAAUGAAGUCUAGCAACAAAAGAAAUAACUACAGCUUUCAAUUUUUAACAUGAAACACUGCCCCCCCCCCUUUUUUUUUUUUGCACAAAUAUAUUCACACGUGUCUCUCAAACAUGAAUUCACGAAGUAGAUUGAGUGCAGGACAAAAUACCCUGUCCUAUUUGUUUUUCUGCCGUUUGAAUUCAAAUCUCGUCCAGUUUAAGUCACUUUCAUCCGGUUCGAAGUCGAUGAAAUAAAAACCUUGUCCAGAACGGUAGAUUGGCGAACAAUUCUUGGAUAGUGGGCAGGGUCUGUUGUCCGUAUUAAUACCCCCACUACUAGGUCUUUAAGGAUCUUUAGUGGGAUUCUACUAAAAACAUUUAGAUAAGUUCUCCAAUUUUGUUAGAAGUUCCUCUUUGACAGACGCCCACUACAAACGAAGGAUUUUUGUGUUGCCUUUGCCGCCCUGACUAAACAGUAAAAGAAAAAAAUUGAGGGGUAUGUAAUCUAACCCGGAAGCCUACUGUUACAAUGCGCUUAACUAUAGUUUGGCUUGUUGCUGGUUUUUUUGAAAUGCAAGAAAGCUUGUAUAACACAUUGAUCAGAAAUGUCAGUAACCAAGGGUAGUCGUUUGUUUCCUAUAAAAACAUCAGAAUUUUUUUUUCUACGUUGUGUAAUGUUACAGCAACAUUUAUUGUACUCUGUCCUCUUGCAUCUCGGGUUCGAGUCCCACCUAAAUCAACUUUACAUCUUUCAAUAGUUAAUAAAUUACGUACAAGUCUUGAGAAGCUUGUCGGCCGAAAUGUUUGAACAUCGGAUGUUGGAUAUUCCUUACGGCUGCGUUCUGAGUUCAAAUCUUGCCGUUGCCUACCUGGAUACCAGACUGAAUCUGUCAGCCGGUUGAACAUCUGGUUUUUUGGCUGUCUUUCAUGGAACCCAGUUUGUUGCCAAUAUUUGGGCCAUGCUUCUGCUUUGAAGAUAAAUUCUUUCUUUUUCGUCAACCUUGCUGAGGGAUAAAAACAAUUAUUUCACCACCAACCUUUCGGAGGGAUAAAAACAAAAUGACAGCAAGGAAUAAACGGAACAAAUCACAAGCAUCUGCUGUCCGAGUUGUACAUGCUCGUAUUUUCUUCAACCCACUUCACUGAUAUGCAAGAAUGAUAAAUCAUUAGUCAAUAGUAUAUCAAACCACCAUUUAUUGUAUUUGUUUCGCCACCCAACGAUCUCGGUUCCAAAAUCACCGAGGCUAACUCCACUUCCCAUUUCUUUGAAGUAGACGAAGUCACAUACUGAAAAAUCUCUCUUCCCCCUCUCUCAUAAUGUGUGUGUGUGUGUGAGAGAGAGAGGCAAAGAUAAAAGAACAUUCACAUCAUGGCAUCUCUAAAUAAAUGAAUGAACGUUAACUAAACAAACAAUAAUACAAUACAGUGCAUAAAUAUUGCAACCAAUCACAAAUUAACAGAAAUACCGUACCCACAAAACAUUUGCUUUACACUCUCUUUAUAAAUAACUACCUACAAACUUAUAAAUCAUUAGACUAUUUGUAAAUGUUGUCUUUAAGCUUGAAGAUUGUAAGCUUAGCUACACUCACUGAAUUAUUAGACAAAAUCUUUUGUCAUGUUUAAUGUGCAAAUGUUGUUUACAAUAUAUUUUUUUUUUCUCUCAUAAGCAACUACUGCAAAUUCCUAUUGAACGAUUUUGAGAAAUAAUAAAAAUACUUAAUAUAAAUUUUGGCAGAAAGCCACCAAUCUUCAGGGAAGGGGUAAAACGAUUACAUCAACCCGAGCUCUUGACUGAUGCAUUAUAUGACCGAAGGCAGAGUUGACAAAGGCGGGAUUUGAACUUAGAGACGGAAGAAAUGCUGGUAAGCAUUUUGUCCGACCUGCUAGCGAUUAUGCCAGCACGCUACACUUUUAAUUAUUUUACAUUUUGGCACAAGGCGAGCUAUUUAAGUCGAUUAUAACGAGCCCGGUACUUGAUAAGUGAGUUAUUUUAUCAAUUUCAAGAGGAUGGCAGAGACCUCGCUUUGAUUUGAACACUGAACGUAAAAUGGCGGAAGUAGUGCCACCAAGCAUUUUGUCCGAUGCGCUAACAAUUCUGCCAGUUCGCUGCUUCAGUAAUAAUUUUUUUUUUUCAAAUUUUGGCACAAGGCCUGUAAUUUGGCGUGGAGGAGACCAGUCGAUUACGUCAACCCUCAGUGAUCAACCGGUACAUCCCCGAAAUGUUGAAUGGCAUAGGCUGACCUCGGCGGAACUUGAUCUCAGAA